rnacentral:rRNA from 1 species
UACGGAGGGUGCAAGCGUUAUCCGGAUUCACUGGGUUUAAAGGGUGCGUAGGUGGGCAGGUAAGUCAGUGGUGAAAUCUCCGGGCUUAACCCGGAAACUGCCAUUGAUACUAUUUGUCUUGAAUAUCCUGGAGGUGAACGGAAUAUGUCAUGUAGCGGUGAAAUGCUUAGAUAUGACAUAGAACACCAAAUUGCGAAGGCAGUUCACUACGGGAUCAUUGACACUGAGGCACGAAAGCGUGGGGAUCAAACAGG